rnacentral:rRNA from 1 species
CUACGGGCCGCAGCAGUGAGGAAUAUUGCACAAUGGAGGAAACUCUGAUGCAGCAACGCCGCGUGGAGGAUGACGCAUUUCGGUGUGUAAACUCCUUUUAUAUGUCAAGAAAAUGACGGUAGCAUAUGAAUAAGCACCGGCUAACUCCGUGCCAGCAGCCGCGGUAAUACGGAGGGUGCAAGCGUUACUCGGAAUCACUGGGCGUAAAGGACGCGUAGGCGGGAUAUCAAGUCAGGUGUGAAAUCCUACAGCUUAACUGUAGAACUGCACUUGAAACUUCUAAUCUAGAGUAUGGGAGGGGGAGAUGGAAUUAGUGGUGUAGGGGUAAUAUCCGUAGAUAUCACUAGGAAUACCUAAAGCGAAGGCGAUCUCCUGGAACAUUACUGACGCUAAGGCGUGAAAGCGUGGGGAGCAAACAGGAUUAGAUACCCGCGUAGUC